UCACUUUUCAGUGUCACAAAAACAAGGCGUGGAAGUGCCCUGAAGUGCAUAUUUAUGAGUGUUCCUUUGAUAAUUACAAUGACUUUCAGCCGCCACAUGUAUCAACAGCUGCAGGUGUGUAUGCUCAAAUCUUGGCAGUGUGC